GCCGAGAGGGGCCAGGCGCCCGGUAGAUCUGAAGCCGGGUAGUGGGAGAAGAUGGUUUACAUCUCGAACGCCCUGGAAUACUUUUUGUUGGAGAAAGAAAAUGUCACAUCAGCCAACGAAGCAGAGCUAGUAAGAGGCAGAGAACUAAGCCUGUCAUCCAUCCUCUAAAGUUUUGUAGCCCCUUGCUCUCAGUAGCACAGUGAGAGCUUAGAUCCAAGUGGAUAUCUGAAAUUAAGCUGGUCAAGAAGAGAAAAGUAAACCCUCGUGGAGUGGGUAGAGGACAAGUGUUGGACAGCCGGAGUCAGUCUCCAUGGAGAUUAUCUUUCAUAACAGAUUUCUUCUGGGGAAUAGCUGAGUUUGUGGUUUUGUUUUUCAAAACUCUGCUUCAGCAAGAUGUGAAAAAAAGAAGAAGCUAUGGAAACUCAUCUGAUUCCAGAUAUGAUGAUGGAAGAGGGCCACCGGGAAACCCUCCCCGAAGAAUGGGUAGAAUCAAUCAUCUGCGUGGCCCUAGUCCUCCUCCAAUGGCGGGUGGAUGAGGAAGGUAAAUGUCUGCUCUAAGAAGCAGACAACUGGACAUGCGCAUUCACAGCAGAAGGAAACCAUCAAGAAGUGGAAGGCCGACCAUGCUGAGCAGUAGAUGAAUGUGUCUGUCUAAACAAGGACUGCUCUGUGUCCUCACAGAUGAAUGAGGUCAUGCUAGGAAUUCCCUCUACAGGGAACUGGCCUGACUGACAUGCAGUUCCAUAAAUGCAGGUGUUUGUCUCAUGACCUUUUUGUAUAGUUUAUUAAAGUAUUAAUAUAGUUUUAAUAAGUAAAUAUUUUUAGGUUGCAGAGUGGACUCCUCAUCUUUAUAUUCACGAAAAAACAAUCUGAAGAAAAUAAAUAAAAGCCUGUGUAUUUAGCACUGUUAGUGUCACCUUUUCAACUUCUGAAAUACUGUUCAUUGUUAACUUUUUCUCAUUUAUAAAUCACACUAUUUAUUUCAGUAGUAUGCAUAUCAUAUCUGUGCUCUUGAAUUAAUCUUUAUCUUUAAUAUAUUUGUCUCAUCAAUCUUUAA